GCUCACCAGAUGUGGGGCUGUACGGAGUCGCUGCAGAGUGUGCAGAGACAUACCAGCGAGAGUUGGCAGAAGUCGAAAGGAGAAAAGUGGCCACAGGAGGCAGUGGCAGUGAACGGGUGAAACACUGGGUGAGAGGAGGCUGUCAUCAUUAUCAUAACGUGAGGACCAGAGAGGGAGGAUGGGAUGAGCCGACGGAAUUUGUGCAGAAUGACACACAGCUGUCACGGGAGGAGAUGCAGAGCACUGUAUCUGGAGUCACGGCAGCAUACGAGCGAGAGCAGUUGUGGCUGGCCAAAGAGAACCUGAUGGUGAAGCUUCAGGCACGUUGUCGAGGCUGUCUUGUCUGUCAGGAAUUCAACUCCAGAAUGAGGUUUUUGAAGAAGCAAGUUCCAGCCAUCACUUG